rnacentral:rRNA from 1 species
UACAGAGGUCUCAAGCGUUGAUCGGAUUCAUUGGGCGUAAAGGGUGCGUAGGUGGCGCGGUAAGUCGGGUGUGAAAUUUCGGAGCUUAACUCCGAAACUGCAUUCGAUACUGCCGUGCUUGAGGACUGGAGAGGAGACUGGAAUUUACGGUGUAGCAGUGAAAUGCGUAGAGAUCGUAAGGAAGACCAGUGGCGAAGGCGGGUCUCUGGACAGUUCCUGACACUGAGGCACGAAGGCCAGGGGAGCAAACGGG